ACGGGGAGCAGCAGGCGCGAAACCUUUACAUCUGCCGCCGUGCGAUAGGGGACCCCGAGUGCGAGGGCAUACAGUCCUCGCUUUUCGUGACCGUAAGGUGGUCACAGAAUAAGAGCUGGGCAAGACCGGUGCCAGCCGCCGCGGUAAUACCGGCAGCUCGAGUGAUAGCCACUAUUAUUGGGCCUAAAGCGUCCGUAGCCGGCCGAACAGGUCCGUCGGGAAAUCCACCCGCUCAACGGGUGGACGUCCGGCGGAAACCAGUCGGCUUGGGGCCGGGAGACCAGAGAGGUACGUCCGGGGUAGGAGUGAAAUCCUGUAAUCCUGGACGGACCGCCGAUGGGGAAACCACCUCAGGAGGACGGAUCCGACGGUGAGGGACGAAAGCUAGGGUCUCGAACCGGAUUAGAUACCCGGGUAGUCCUAGCUGUAAACGAUGUCUGCUAGGUGUGGCACAGGCUACGAGCCUGUGCUGUGCCGUAGGGAAGCCGAGAAGCAGACCGCCUGGGAAGUACGUCCGCAAGGAUGAAACUUAAAGGAAUUGGCGGGGGAGCAC
rnacentral:rRNA from 1 species